AAACUCUUCUAUUCCCAUUCCCUUCUUCUUUUUCCCAUUUCCCCUUUCUCUCAAUACCCUAUUUCCCCUCUCUUCUACUUAGUAAUGAGAUGAAGGAUUUUUCCUUCAAAUUGAAGGGAUUUAGGAGCAGAACCUUUGGAGAAGGAAACCCAUUUUCAAGUUGAAACUCUAGCUAGAGAACAAAGUACUUCGGGCGUGCAUGCCGGAGCUCCUACGGCCGAACCUUCCACAUCUUAGAUCAGUCUUUUCUUAUUUUGAGGUGGAAUCCUUAUCUAUAAAUGAUGAACCUUAGUGGUCCUCUUAGUAUCAUACAUGCAUAUAUAUAUAUUGCUAUCGAAUGUUCGUAAUUCUUGUUGCGUGUUUAAUUAUUGUUCUAAGAACUUAUGCCAUCGUUGUUUAUUCUUUGGUUCACAAUGCAAUGGAAGUUGAUCUUAUACUCUAGCAUAUCUCUUAUUAUCAUAUUGUACUAGUAGAGGGUAUGCAUUUGUAUUGGAAGGUAGCAUAAUCUUGAUUAUUUGUUAAUUCCAAAAUAUAACAUGAUUGUUGGGACAUUGACCCUAUUUGGAUUCGCCGCUAUGCUUAUGGUACUCCCCGGGCCAUCUUGGAUGGCUCCUUGUGAUGUGGGAGUUUGAGUGAGAGAAGGCAUGAGUGGGUUAUCGGUGGUGGUCGCUCCCCACGCGGUAAGCCCUUUGCUCCCCGGGUUGAGAUUUGGAUUACGCAUUUACUCGAUUGUAGGUCGAGUUGGAUUUUUGUUGGGUCUUUUCUAGUUGAUUAUGCUUAUCCUAUGAUUUUACCAUUUACUUAUUGAGUAUAGUUGCUAUCGUUGAUCAUAAUGGUAGAUUCAUAUGUAUGUUUAUUAAUCAUUCAUAAUCAUUGUUUAUCUUUCCGUUGAUCACCUACUAUUAGGUUAGUGGGAAUUAUUGUCUCUAGAUGAGCUUCCACUGGGAACUAUUGUUAAUAGUUCUCAUUAUGUGGAUAUUACUAAUUUUUCAGGUAUGACCUUUGAGAUGAGAUCGGGCGAGACGACGACUAUAGUUAGAUAGUAGCAUGUUGAUCGUCUCCAUUUUUGUAUUAUGUAGAUCUUAUUUUUGUAUUUUGGACAAUCAUUUUGGAUAUGUAUUAGGUCAUAUUGGGACUAUGAAUUGUACAAACUUGCUACUUGUUAAGUUCAGGGCAUAACCAUUUAGAAGUUUUAUGUAUGCUUAAAUGGAAUGGUAUUUUGGAUAACCAAUCGUUACGUUGGUAACUUUGGGAUGCUUAAAAUUUGUGAAUUGUUUAUUUAAAUUUAU